rnacentral:snRNA from 1 species
GAGUGUUACAGUUCUUUUAGAAUUUGUCUAGCUGGUUUUCUGAUUACUAUAGGAAAGUCCCA